rnacentral:lncRNA from 1 species
CACGUGGCUUUGUUUCUCUUGCACCUUCUGCCAUGGUUGUGUGGCCUUCCCAGCCAUGUGGAACUGUGAGUCCAUUAAGCCUCUUUUUCUUUAUAAAUUACCCAGUCUCAGAUAUGUCUUUAUAGCACCAUGAGAACAAACUAAUAUAUCACGUAGCUAGAUUCUGGCCAUUGGGAGAUAAGCAGAACCGCUGUAUGAAAUUUCCAGGGAAGCCUUCUAAAUGGAGCUGACUCAACUGAAAACUGUGAAACCUACAGGUUGCAGAAGAAAAUGGCUGGUGGAAAUGCAGCAGGAAGAAUAACAUGGUUCUGAAACCAGGCUGUCCUGGUUGACGUUUCCUGCCCAUAAGGCCAUCGAAAGGUGGGCAUCUCCUCACGUGGCUGCUGCUAGUGACGGACCUAGUAUGGCCCUGGGAGUUAAAGCGGUGCUGUGGCCUCUGCAGUCCUCAGCACUCCUUCUGGCACUACAGGCAUGCUGUGUUUACAGCAGAGAUGGAGAGGUUUUCUGCCCUAUCUCCACCCUGCCCAGCCCCUAGCUCUGGGCUUUAGUUUGUUAUCUGGGUACCAGAGAGCAUAGCUUGAGCCCCUGCGUCUCACAGAGUCCCUUAUGACAACAGCCUCCUCAGACUCUGCAAACAACCUCUCUCUCCACAGGGCUCAGAUGAGAAUCCAGGGAAACCAACUUCUUAAAAAUAGAUGCCAGUAGGCUGCCUACCCUGCCAAGUCAUUGGACAUUUCCAGACAUGCCUGAUUCCCAGCAGAGAACACAAAUUAGGCUCUCGAAUCCCUGCUACAUUACUAAACGUGCAUAGCACGCCCUAAUGCUUUCCCCUGAAUCAACUCUGUUCGGUAGGUAGGACAGAUGAUAGUAUUAUAGUUUCCAUCUUUCAUACAGAGAAAUUAAUUCUUAGUGAGAAAAAGCUAGAAGCCUGAAGUGAGAUAAUAAUUAAGAUUCUGAUUGAUCACAUGAAUGGAGGGCUUUGAAUAGCAAAUCUGGCACUCUCCUGGGGUACUUCACGGUAACAGGUCACCAAGCUUGGCCCAGAUGCUCUAGACAGAGGCAUUUUCCUCUCUGUGCUCAUGGCAUGUUGGUUUGUUGCAGAGUUUGCUGUAUUUUGUGACACCACUUUAAACGUCAGUCUUCUCCACUAAACAUCUCUCAUGCCAGCAAAGUGCCUGGCAUGGAGAAGGGACCUGAUAAACAUUUAUCGGUGGUAUGAAUAUGAAUUUUUAAAAAAAAUCUCUUAAUGUUUCUCUAAUGAAGGUGGAAUCCUCCCACCCCAGAGAACAUUUGGAAGUGGAGGAGCAUUUUUCGUUGUCACAAUACCAAGGAGUGAUGCUCCAAGCCUUUUAUAACCGGGGCCAGGGAUACGGGAUAUCUUGCAAUCUGUCAGACAGUCCUGCACAAAGAAGUGCUCUGUCCAAAAUGCCAAUCGCUCCUCCUUUGAGAAUAACUACAAGGAAGUCCAAAUGUUAGGAAAGUCCCAAGCACUCCUAAGCCUUCGAGUCUAGCCUAGGAAUAACUUAGCUAUCUGUGACCUUGCUAUUUGAGUUUUGAGACAAAAUAGGGGUUAUGCUAUAUACCCACCUCAUGCUAUGGUUUAAUGAGAACAUAUGUAAGAGGCCUAACAGAGUGGUUGCAUGUGGCAGGAAGACAAGUGAUUUGAGCUCCUUUUCCCCUUACUUCAGGUAAUAGGAACAAUCAUUUGUCUAUGUAUCAGUUUGGCCUAUGGUUUAAUUCAACUGAAAGAUAUUUUGAAAGCAGGCCUAGUGUUCUACGAUCUGCCCUUGGAAAUAUAAAAAGUAGUAUGGUAGUAUAUUUCCCAAUUGUUAUGAGGAUUCGAGUUUCUAAAGAUCAGUGCCUGGCACUGAGUAGUCUCUUUAUAAAUAGUUGACUUGAUGAUAGGUGGCAGAAAUCGAAGAAAAGCAGUGCUCUUGCUUAAAUAUUAAGGUAGCAUAAAAUCAAAUCAUAUUCUCCCUCUUUAGCAAAAUUGAGUGAGAUUUCUUUAGUAAGUUCUGCUUAUCCACUAUUUCCUGCAAAUUAAACAGACUUCCCACA